UCUAUUAGCGUGCUGGAACAGAUGACUCCACCCUGAUGAGGAUUAUGGUGUCGAGGAGCGAGAUAGACAUGUUGGACAUCAGGACCUGCUUCAAAAAGAAAUAUGGAACGUCUCUUUACACCACCAUCCAGGAGGACACAGAUGGGGACUACCAGAAGGCUCUACUGUACCUCUGUGGUGGGAAUGAUUAAUGGUGUUUUAUGUAGUCUAGCAGCACUGAAUGAUGAGCUGCUGCUGCUGCAGGACAAAGAUACACAUGUGAUGAGGUUAUUGAUCUGGAGUUGUUGAUUCUUUCUGACGUUGGCUUGCUAUUGAAUUAGUGUGAAUUACCCCCUUGACGUUUUUGAAUUAUGACAAUAUACGUAAAUCUUCAUGAACUGCAGUUAAAGUCUUACAUUUGCUUUUGGUUUGACACAUACAGAAAAUGGCUCAAUGUCGUGUAAAGGCUUUGUUUUGAAUAUAGUCAAUAAAGGUAGCUAUGUUGAAAAAUAUAAA